CGCACACACACACACACACACACACACACACACACACACACACACACACACANNNNNNNNNNUUUCUAUUCAAGCCACCUCAGAGUUAAACAAUAUUUUCUGUUAGUGAAACUGUAGCUUUUGGAAUAGAUGUAGGCUUCGUGCUACAUGCUAGCUCCUUCAUUCGUCAUGCCUAGCUCCUUCCUUCGAAGGAAGGAGCUAGGCAUGACGGCUCAUGUCUGCAGUUCUAACAGGAGGAGGCUGAGGCAGAAUGGUUGCAAUUUUGAGGCCAGCCUGAACUACACAGUGAGACUUUAUCUCAAGGAAAGGAAAGGAGGAGAAAACUAAAAGAUGGAAGACGUGGAGGAAGAGGAGGAGAAGGAGGAGAGCACCCCAGGAAGGCCUGGACCGUUCGUAGGACAAAGAUGGAGCUGUCUAUGCUGCUAUAGCCCAGAAGAUGAAGAUCUUGGAAUUCCAAAUAGGACCUCUUUAAAUUCUAAAAAACCCUACACCCACCCAGAUCAUCUGUCACCAGGACUGUUGGCAUGUGAUGACAUGAAGAAUAAAGAGGAAAACUCAUUGUUCACUCAUUUUCCAUUGCCAAGAUAUAUUAAUAUGCCAAGACAAUUGCCCAUAGGCAAUUUCAUCUGCAGUUGAGCUACUUGA
rnacentral:lncRNA from 1 species